GCCGGGCGCGGUGGCGCGCGCCUGUAGUCCCAGCUACUCGGGAGGCUGAGGCUGGAGGAUCGCUUGAGCCCAGGAGUUCUGGGCUGUAGUGCGCUAUGCCGAUCGGGUGUCCGCACUAAGUUCGGCAUCAAUAUGGUGACCUCCCGGGAGCGGGGGACCACCAGGUUGCCUAAGGAGGGGUGAACCGGCCCAGGUCGGAGACGGAGCAGGUCAAAGCUCCCGUGCUGAUCAGUAGUGGGAUCGCGCCUGUGAAUAGCCACUGCACUCCAGCCUGGGCAACAUAGCGAGACCCCGUCUCUU
rnacentral:SRP_RNA from 1 species